AUUUAAAAUUAUUAGCUGGCUGAACACGCCCGAUCUCGUCUGAUCUCAGAAGCUAAGCAGGAUCAGGCCUGGUUAGUACCUGGAUGGGACCACCUAGAAAUACCAGGUGCUGUAGGUG
rnacentral:rRNA from 1 species